rnacentral:lncRNA from 1 species
UUUUUUUAUUUUUCAAUUCUUGCAACUUUCUCUUUAAGGAUUUUUGCAUCCUUGUACGCAUCAUAUGUACAGAUUUUUUUACAAUCAAUAAAAUUCAGUUCUUUUACCAAUUGUUUUUCAUUUCUCCUGCGCUUUGUUUGCAAAAUAACUGAUUUAUUUUUAUCAUAUAAUGCUAUAAAAUUUGGGGAAUAAUAAAAGCUACAUUAAAAGAAAACCUUAUGCAUUACUUUAACUCCUG